AGUGGAUGGGGAGCAACCUAGUUGUGCGUGUGUAAAGGUAGUGCCAAGAAAAGCGAUGAUCAUGUUGAAAAUCAAUUCCCGGUACCCGAAACCGACACAGGUGGGCAAGUAGAGAAUACUAAGGGGCGCGAGGUAACUCUCUCCAAGGAACUCGGCAAAAUGACCCCGUAACUUAGGGAGAAGGGGUGCCACCGAGAGGUGGUCGCAGUGAAGAGGCCCAGGCGACUGUUUAGCAAAAACAUAGGUCUCUGCAAACUCGAAAGAGGAGGUAUAGGGGCUGACGCCUGCCCAGUGCCGGAAGGUUAAAGAAGUUGGUCAGUUUUAGGAUGAAGCUAGCGACUGAAGCCCCGGUGAACGGCGGCCGUAACUAUAACGGUCCUAAGGUAGCGAAAUUCCUUGUCGGGUAAGUUCCGAUCCGCACGAAAGGCGUAACGAUCUGGGCGCUGUCUCGGAGAGAGGCUCGGCGAAAUAGGAUUGUCUGUGAAGAUACGGACUACCUGCAUUUGGACAGAAAGACCCUAUGAAGCUUUACUAUAGCUUGGAAUUGUGUUCGGGCUUCCUGUGCGCAGGAUAGGUGGGAGGCGUAGAAGGUAUUCUUGUGGGGAUACUGGAGCCAACGGUGAGAUACCACUCUCAGGAGGCUAGAAUUCUAACUUAAUUAAGGACAGUUUCAGGUGGGUAGUUUGACUGGGGCGGUCGCCUCCAAAAAGGUAACGGAGGCGUACAAAGGUUCCCUCAGACUGGUUGGAAAUCAGUCGAAGAGUGCAAAGGCAGAAGGGAGCUUGACUGCGAGAAGUACAGUUCGAGCAGGGUGGAAACACGGUCUUAGUGAUCCGACGGUGCUGUGUGGAAGGGCCGUCGCUCAACGGAUAAAAGUUACUCUAGGAUAACAGGCUGAUCUCCCCCAAGAGUUCACAUCGACGGGGAGGUUUGGCACCUCGAUGUCGGCUCAUCGCAACCUGGGGCGGAAGUACGUCCCAAGGGUUGGGCUGUUCGCCCAUUAAAGCGGUACGUGAGCUGGGUUCAGAACGUCGUGAGACAGUUCGGUCCAUAUCCGAUGUAGGCGUGAGAAUAUUGAGAGGAGCCUUCCUUAGUACGAGAGGACCGGGAAGGACGCACCGCUGGUGUACCUGUUAUGAUGCCAAUUGUAAACGCAGGGUAGCCAAGUGCGGAGAGGAUAACCGCUGAAAGCAUCUAAGUGGGAAGCCCACCUCAAGAUGAGUAUUCUGGUGUAAGGUCACGGGAAGACGACCCGUAAAUAGGCACGAGGUGGAAGUGCAGAGAUGUAUGAAGCCGAAGUGUACUAAUAGACCGUCGGC
rnacentral:rRNA from 1 species